AUUUAAAAGUUUUAUAACAUUUUUGAAGAUAUAAAGACCAGGUUUUAGAUUCACAAAAACUUGAUCAUAAUUCAUGAAGAUUUCAGUAUAGGUACAAUCAAUUGUAGUCAUAAGAUAUUUUGUGAACACACACUUUUUAGGUCACUUAUAUAUAUCUUGAAAUCAAUUUUAAACAUCUAAAUGGACAAAAAUGCUCAGACUAUCAAAAUCUACCUACUUUUCCAUUCCACCAAAUUAUUAAAUAACUCCUUAUAAUUUAGGAAUUAUUGUUAAUAAAUAAUGAAUUUUGUCUUGUCUAGAUGAAGUUACAGAAUACAACAUAAGAAUACUAAUUUGGAUGGUGUCUGUGUAAUAUAUUUGUAUAAAGCUUUAUAUUUCUAAAGUGAGAAGUGAGAAGUCAUUUAUAUCUCAUACCUUGUAUGCAGAUGCCUGGUGUUUCUGAAGUUUCUGUCUGGCAUAUGUUCUUUGUCCUUACCCAUAUUUCAAUUGUUCAUCCACUGCUUAAAAAACUGUGCAGUGUUUUUUAUCACAUGAUUUUAUCUCUUGGUAAUGAGUAAUAGGAUAGCUAUAUUCAGUAUAUUGAAUCAUUGUGUGGUUUACAUAUCCCACAGACAGAGUUCACCUGACCUUGAUCUCAAUCAAAGUCGUGACACACAGUUCCACAGAACUUUUCAGAAACUGUUUGGACUAUGUUCUUUCUUUGUCCCAAUCUUAUGAUGUUUUAUAUAUCCCAACUGGUUCACUUAGCCCAUGUUUGUAUUGAUCUUAUAAAUAUUUCAAUCAACAUAAUCUUUGUAUCACAUAUGCAUCACUGUGAUUUGAUUUGGAAGUUUGGCUGUACAGGAGAAAACUUAUUUCAAACAGGAUAUCACAUCCUAAAUUUUACGGUGAUGUUGUUUAUAGAGCCUGUAAAUUUAGAUGAGAUCUGUGUAAACUUUUCAAUCCUUUAAAUAGACUUAUUUUUAAAAGGUUAUCAAUUUAACACUGUAAUAUGAAUUUUGAAUAGUUUUUAUUGUUACAAAGAUUGAUUUUAUUAUCUAUAAUUUAAAAAGUAAUUAGAUAUUGUAAACCGUUAUGAAAAUUUACAGUCCUACAUUCUAUCAAUACUUUUAUUUUGGCAGUGACCAAGAUCAUGUUUUUCUCUGUCUGUUAUGACAUAUUCAUCCUAAAUCCAUUUGAUGUGUACUGAUUGAUAUUCAAGUCUUGGAUAUAUGAUUUUAUUGUCUCACCUGCGACAAAAGUCGCAGUAUGCAAGACAUAGGUAUUACUACCCUGCGACGGCUGCGGUGUAAACUAUUUGUAUAAAGCUUUAUAUUUCAGAAGGUAGAAGACCUGUAUGCUUCAUAUUUUGUAUGCAGAUACCUUAUGUUACAAGGUUUCUGUCAAUCAUAUGUCCAUUGUCCUUGACCUCAUUUUCAUGGUUCAGCGACUGCUUGUAAAAAAAAAUUGAGUUUUUUUGUCAUGUGAAUUUCUCACUUAUUAUGAGUAAUAGGAUAACUAUAUUUGGUAUAUGGGUUCCUUGCAACUGCUACAUGUCCGUCAGACAGAGUUCACCUGACCUCGACCUCAUUUUCAUGGAUCAGUGAUCAAGGUUAAAGUUACGUGAUUAGGUCUGUUUCUCAAAUACUAUAAGCUGUAGGUUAGCUAUAUUUGGUGUAUGGAAUGAUUGUAAUGGGUACAUGUCAGUCUGGCAGGUUUCACCUUACCUUGACCUCAUUUUCAUGGUUCAUUGGUGGUCAAUGUUAAGUUUUUGUGUUUUGAUCUGUUUUUCAAGUACUAUAAGCAAUAGGUCAAAUUUAUCUGGUGUAUGGAAUGAUUGUAAGGUGUACAUGCCUGUCUGGAAGGUAUCAUCUGACCUUGACCUCAUUUUUAUGGUUCAAUGGUCAAUGUUAAGUUUUCGUGUUUCGGUCUGUAUUUCAAAUACUAAUAGCAAUAGGUCAGCUAUAUUUGGUGUAUGGAAUAUUUAUAACUUGUAAGGAGCACAUGUCUGUCUGGCAGGUAUCAUCUGACCUUGACCUCAUAUUUAUGGUUCAUUGGAUAAUGUUAUGUUUUUAUACGACCGCAAAAAAAUUCUUCGUCGUCCGAAGACACAUUGGUUUUCGCACUCUAACUUUUGUUUAAGUGAAUGGAUCUCUAUGAAAUUUUACCAUAAGGUUCAAUACCACAAAAGGAAGGUGGGGAUUGAUUUUGGGGGUUAUGGUACCAACAGUUAAGGAAUUAGGGGCCAAAAAUAAGCAUAUUAGUAACUUCGAGACAUAACUUGUGUGUUAGUGUAUGGAUCUCUCUGACAUUGUACCACAAGGUUCCAUAUCACAAAGGGAAUGUGGGAUUGAUUUUGGGGGUAAUUGCCUCCAAAUUUUAGGAAUUAGGGGCCAAAAUGGGGCAAAAAACAAGCAUUUUUCUAGUUUCAUGACAAUAACUUGUGUGUAAGUGUAUGGAUCUCUCUGACAUUGUACCACAAGGUUCCAUAUCACAAAGGGAAUGCUGGAAUUGAGUUUGGGGGUAAUUGCCCAAAAUGUUUAAGAAUAAGGGGCCAAAAAUAAGCAUUUUUCUAGUUUCCAGACAAUAACUUGUGUUCAAGUGUAUGGAUCUCUCUGAAAUUGUACUGCAAGGUACCAUACCACAAAGGGAAGGCUGGGAUUGAUUUUGGGGGUAAUUCCCUCAAAAUUUGAGUAAUUAGGGGCCAUAAAGGGGCAAAAAAACAAGCAUUUUUCUAGUUUCAGGACAAUAACUUGUGUGUAAGUGUAUGGAUCUCUAUGAAAUUGUACUGCAAGGUUCCAUAUCACAAAGGGAAAGCUGGGUUUGAGUUUGGGGGUAAUUGCCCUAAACGUUUAGGAAUUUGGGGCCAAAAAGGGGCCAAAAAAAAAGCAUUUUUCUAGUUUCCAGACAAUAACUUGUGUUCAAGUGUAUGGAUCUCACUGAAAUUGUACUGCAAGGUACCAUACCACAAAGGGAAGGCUGGGAUUGAGUUUUGGGGUGAUGAAUCAUAAGGGGUUCAAAAAAUUUGGGGGGGGGAUUUUUUUUCCUUUGUUUUCUCUAAAAUUUUCCCAUUUUAAAUUGGUUAUUUCUGAUUUAUAUAUAAGAGCAAAUAAUAAUGAUAUGGUUUGAAUAGGUAAAUUAAAAAAAUUUAAGUUCUUAGACCACAUUCAUUCUGUGUCAGAAACCUAUGCUGUGUCAAAUAUUUAAUUACAAUCCAAAUUCAGUGCUGUAUCAAGCUUGAAUGUUGUGUCCAUACUUGCCCCAACUGUUCAGGGUUCGACCUCUGCGGUCGUAUCAAGCUGCGCCCCAGUGGAGCAUUUUAUUGUGUUUUGGUCUGUUUUUCAAUUAGCUUACACAAUAGGUGAACUAUAUUUGGUGUAUAAAAAAGUUGUAAGGUGUGUAUGUCUGUCUGACACAAUUUAUCUGAAAUAGACCUCAUUGUCAUAGAUUUUUCAAAAUUUCAAGUUUCUGAAAUGCUUUUAGUAAAACCUUUAUCUUUAAGACUUUCAACAUAAAAUCAAUUGUCAGUAAAGCAGGCAAGACAUUUCAGGGUAUGCACUCUUGUUAUAAGUUAUUAUGGGAUUUACCUUUCAAUAACUGCAAGUACUCUCAAGUCAGCACUGGUAUGACGUUCGCGUCGUCGUCGUUGUCCGAAGACACAUUGGUUUUCGCACUCUAACUUUAGUUUAAGUGAAUGGAUCUUUUUGAAAUUUGACCAUAAGGUUAAAUACCACAAAAGGAAGGUUGGGAUUGAUUUUGGGGGUUAUGGUACCAACAGUUAAGGAAUUAGGGGCCAAAAAGGGGCCAAAAAUAAGCAUUUUCUAGUUUCCAGACAAUAACUGUGGAAUGGUGUAUGGAUCUCUCUGAAAUUAUACUACAAGUUUCCAUACCACAAAGGGAUGGUUAGGAUUUGCUUUGGGGGGUUAUGGCUCAAACCGUUUAGGAAUUAGGGGCAAAAAAGGGGGAAAAACAGGGUUGUCCUGGUUAAUGGACAAAUACUUUAGUACAAAACAUAAUUUAAAGCAGUGUAAGGGAGAUAAAUCAAAUACAUCAUUGAAAUUAUCUCCCUUACACUGCUUUUAAAUUAUGUAUAAAGUAAUGGUUAAUGAACAAUAAAGAUAAUUUAAAACAGUGUAAGGGAGGUAAUCCAAAUACAACGUUUUGGUUACUUCCCUUACACUGCUUUUAAAUUAUGUUUAAAGAAAUGCAUAUUUAUAAAGGAAGACCAGUAAAAAUAUCUGCAAAUGUUGCAUCUUUUUUUUUUACAAAAAAAUCCAUAUGAAAGAUUUGACACUUUAUUUUUAAUUCUAUUAUAAAAUAGAUUAAGUUAGCACUAUGGUAAAUUUAAAUGGGUAAUUAUGGUUGCCAACUCCAUUGGAAAUUUGAAUUGAGAUUAUGACCAUAUCUUGAGGGAAAGAACUUUUUUGGGGAAAAAAGGGGGGGAGAUAAAAAGAAAUUGUGGGGGGUCAAUUUUUUCUCAUUUCAGAUUUCAGAAAUUAAAAAGAAUUAUUCUUCAAAAAAUUUUUUUUUUCAAAUUUCAAAUAUUGAAAAAUUUCAAGAAGUCUUUAAUUGCACAGUAUGGCGCAUUAGAUUUGUAAAAUCUUUGAUCACAUUUAUUUAUUUGUUAUGCCGAAUCUAACAGUGUAUUAAGAUUUUUAAUUUUGGGUCCAGAUUUCAAAUUGGUCUACAUUAAGGUCCAAAGGGUCCAAAAUUAAACUUUGUUUGACUUUAGCAAAAAUUGAAUAUAUGAGGUUCUUUGAUAUGCUGAAUCUAAACAUGUAUUUAGAUUUUUGAUUUUUGGCCCAGUUUUCAAGUUGGUCCAAAUUGGGGUCCAAAAUUAAACUUUGUUUGAUUUCAACAAAAAUUGAAUAUAUGGGGUUCUUUGAUAUGCUGAAUCUAACCAUGUAUUUAGAUUUUUUAUUUGUGGACCCCGUUAUCAAAUUGGUUCAUAUUGAGGUCAAAAGGGUCCAAAAUUAAACUUUGUUUGAUUUCAUCAAAAAUUGAAUUAUUGGGGUUCUUUGAUAUUCCAAAUCUAACCGUGUAUUUAGAUUUUUAAUUUUGGGUCCUGUUUUUUAAAUUGGUCUACAUUAAGGUCCAAAGGGUCCAAAAUUAAACUUAGUUUGAUUUUAACAAAAAUUGAAUUCUUGGGGUUCUUUGAUAUGCUGAAUCUAAACAUGUGUUUAGAUUUUUGAUUAUGGGCCCAGUUUUCAAGUUUGUCCAAGUUGGGGUCCAAAAUUAAACUUUUUUUGAUUUCAACAAAAAUUGAAUAUAUGGGGUUCUUUGAUAUGCUGAAUCUAACCAUGAAUUUAGAUUUUUUAUUUGUGGGCCCCGCUAUGAAAUGGGUUCAUAUUGAGGUCAAAAGGGUCCAAAAUUAAACUUUGUUUGAUUUCAUCAAAAAUUGAAUUAUUGGGGUUCUUUGAUAUUCCAAAUCUAACCGUGUAUUUAGAUUUUUAAUUUUAAGUCCCGUUUUUUUAAAUUGGUCUACAUUAAGGUCCAAAGGGUCCAAAAUUAAACUUAGUUUGAUUUUAGCAAAAAUUGAAUUCUUGGGGUUCUUUGAUAUGCUGAAUCUAAACAUGUGUUUAGAUUUUUGAUUAUGGGCCCAGUUUUCAAGUUUGUCCAAGUUGGGGUCCAAAAUUAAACUUUGUUUGAUUUUAACAAAAAUUGAAUAUUGAUAUGCUGAAUCUAACCAUGUAUUUUGAUUUUUUGGACAUUGGACCAUAAUAGGUAAAUUAAAAAAAUUUAAGUUCUUAGACCACAUUCUUUCUGUGUCAGAAACCUAUGCUGUGUCAAAUAUUUAAUAAUCCAAAUUCAGAGCUGUAUCAAGCUUGAAUGUUGUGUCCAUAUUUGCCCCAACUGUUCAGGAUUCGACCUCUGCGGUCGUAUCAAGCUGCGCCCCAGCGAAGCAUUUUAUUGUUAGUUGUUUUUUGUGUGCUUUGUCUCUAUCUGAUGAAUCAAGCCUUUUUCAACUGAGUUUAAUAAAUAAGUCAACAUGACUGAAAUGGUCUAUUGAUUGUUUAUAGGUAAUAUUGCCCUAGAAGGCUGAUUUUUACUCUUUUUUGGCUUAUUUUACAGAACUUGGUCUUCCAUCACUGUUUUGGAUACCUAAACUACAUAAGUGUCCUUACAAACAACAUUAUAUUGCUGGGUCUUCUAAGUGCUCCACAAAACCUCUUUCUAAAUUACUUACAUCAAUUUUAUCAGCAAUCAAAGCCGGGCUUCAAAGUUAUUAUGAAAAUACCUAUUCUAGUGGUUGCGUGAAUCAGAUGUGGAUACUAAAAAAUUCCAAAGAUCUUUUAGAGUACAUACAAUCUAAGACUCUUUCAUCUUGCAAUAGUAUUAAAACAUUUGACUUUUCUACACUUUACACAAGUAUUUCCCAUUCCAAACUAAAAGACAAAUUGAAAGAGUUGGUCCUGCUUUGUUUCAUAAAAAAGAAUGGCCAACGUAGAUACAAAUAUCUUGUCUUAGGGUGAUUCAAACAAAAAAUUCUCUGAAAUUGACAUCAAGAUGCUUGAUUUCUUGAUUGACAACAUAUUUGUUACGUUUGGAGGACAUAUUUUUCAACAAACAAUCGGCAUUCCCAUGGGAACCAACUGUGCCCCUCUUCUUGCUGACUUGUUCCUUUAUUUAUAUGAGGCUGACUUCAUACAGGAACUUCUUAGGAAGAAAGAAAAGAAGUUAGCAGUAUCCUUUUACUUUACUUUCUGCUAUAUAGAUGAUGUUCUCUCACUAAAUAAUUCAAAAUUUGGUGACUAUGUUGAACGCAUCUAUCCCAUCAAACUUGAGAUAAAGGAUACAACAGAUACAGUUAAGUCUUCCUCAUGACUUGACUUGCAUCUAGAAUUGACAAAAAGGGUCGGUUGAAAACAAAACUUUACGACAAAAGAGAUGAUUUCAGCUUCCCAAUUGUGAACU